AGGUAAGCUACUAAGAGCGAAUGGUGGAUGCCUUGACUGGUAAAGGCGAUGAAGGACGUACUAGACUGCGAUAAGCUACGGGGAGCUGUCAAGAAGCUUUGAUCCGUAGAUUUCCGAAUGGGGCAACCCAAUGUAUAGAGAUAUACAUUACCUAUAUAGGAGCGAACGAGGGGAAUUGAAACAUCUUAGUACCCUCAGGAAAAGAAAUCAAUAGAGAUUGCGUCAGUAGCGGCGAGCGAAAGCGCAAGAGGGCAAACCCAGUGCUUGCACUGGGGGUUGUAGGACUGCAAUGUGCAAGAGGUGAGUUUAGCAGAACAUUCUGGAAAGUAUAGCCAUAGAGGGUGAUAGUCCCGUAUGCGAAAAACAAACCUUAGCUAGCAGUAUCCUGAGUAGGGCGGGACACGAGAAAUCCUGUCUGAAGCUGGGUCGACCACGAUCCAACCCUAAAUACUAAUACCAGAUCGAUAGUGCACAAGUACCGUGAGGGAAAGGUGAAAAGAACUGAGGUGAUCAGAGUGAAAUAGAACCUGAAACCAUUUGCUUACAAUCAUUCAGAGCCCUAUGUAGCAAUACAGGGUGAUGGACUGCCUUUUGCAUAAUGAGCCUGCGAGUUGUGGUGUCUGGCAAGGUUAAGCAAACGCGAAGCCGUAGCGAAAGCGAGUCUGAAUAGGGCGCUUAGUCAGAUGCUGCAGACCCGAAACGAAGUGAUCUAUCCAUGAGCAAGUUGAAGCUAGUGUAAGAACUAGUGGAGGACUGAACCCAUAGGCGUUGAAAAGCCCCGGGAUGACUUGUGGAUAGGGGUGAAAGGCCAAUCAAACUUCGUGAUAGCUGGUUCUCUCCGAAAUAUAUUUAGGUAUAGCGUUGUGUCGUAAUAUAAGGGGGUAGAGCACUGAAUGGGCUAGGGCAUACACCAAUGUACCAAACCCUAUCAAACUCCGAAUACCUUAUAUGUAAUCACAGCAGUCAGGCGGCGAGUGAUAAAAUCCGUCGUCAAGAGGGAAACAACCCAGACUACCAGCUAAGGUCCCUAAAUCUUACUUAAGUGGAAAACGAUGUGAAGUUACUUAAACAACCAGGAGGUUGGCUUAGAAGCAGCCAUCCUUUAAAGAAAGCGUAAUAGCUCACUGGUCUAGUGAUUUUGCGCGGAAAAUAUAACGGGGCUAAAGUAAGUACCGAAGCUGUAGACUUGCGCACAACUUAGAUUAUUUAAGUUUAGAAUAUGAGAAACUAAGUUAUAUGUUUAGUUAUAUUUUUACUGAUUUUUAUAGAGUAAAGAUAGAAAUAAAACUUAGUAAAAUCAGUAAAAAUAUUCUUAGACUAAAGUUAAGUAGUUUAAGUUGUGUGCAAGUGGUAGGAGAGCGUUCUAUUUGCGUCGAAGGUAUACCGGUAAGGAGUGCUGGAGCGAAUAGAAGUGAGCAUGCAGGCAUGAGUAGCGAUAAUUAAUGUGAGAAUCAUUAACGCCGUAAACCCAAGGUUUCCUACGCGAUGCUCGUCAUCGUAGGGUUAGUCGGGUCCUAAGUCGAGUCCGAAAGGGGUAGACGAUGGCAAAUUGGUUAAUAUUCCAAUACCAACAUUAGUGUGCGAUGGAAGGACGCUUAGGGCUAAGGGGGCUAGCGGAUGGAAGUGCUAGUCUAAGGUCGUAGGAGGUUAUACAGGCAAAUCCGUAUAACAAUACUCCGAGAACUGAAAGGCUUUUUGAAGUCUUCGGAUGGAUAGAAGAACCCCUGAUGCCGUCGAGCCAAGAAAAGUUUCUAAGUUUAGCUAAUGUUGCCCGUACCGUAAACCGACACAGGUGGGUGGGAUGAGUAUUCUAAGGCGCGUGGAAGAACUCUCUUUAAGGAACUCUGCAAAAUAGCACCGUAUCUUCGGUAUAAGGUGUGGUUAGCUUUGUAUUAGGAUUUACUCCGAAAGCAAGGAAACUUACAACAAAGAGUCCCUCCCGACUGUUUACCAAAAACACAGCACUCUGCUAACUCGUAAGAGGAUGUAUAGGGUGUGACGCCUGCCCGGUGCUCGAAGGUUAAUUGAUGGGGUUAGCAUUAGCGAAGCUCUUGAUCGAAGCCCGAGUAAACGGCGGCCGUAACUAUAACGGUCCUAAGGUAGCGAAAUUCCUUGUCGGUUAAAUACCGACCUGCAUGAAUGGCGUAACGAGAUGGGAGCUGUCUCAAAGAGGGAUCCAGUGAAAUUGUAGUGGAGGUGAAAAUUCCUCCUACCCGCGGCAAGACGGAAAGACCCCGUGGACCUUUACUACAGCUUGACAC
rnacentral:rRNA from 1 species